UGAAAUAUCCACCCUAGCACGUUUCAGUGGGAUCACCUUGAGCAAACUGCUAUUCCUCUCUAGACCUUAAUUCUUCAUCGUUAAAUGGGGAUUCAUAACCUCAAAAGAUACAUUAAUGACAAACUCCUUCACUAAACCAGGUGAGGUGUCUUAACGAGUCCCAGCAGGUGGCCCUGUUGGCCCAGAAGUUUACAAGAGACUUUCAGGACGUGGGAAGCCACCACGUGCCAUGUUGAGGGAUGCAACUGGAAAAUGCCCUCAGGAUUUAUUCCUCCCCAGUACUCCUAACAGAACAAACUCGAGACAUCCAGAGUGCUAUCUUCCAGAGAAUUUGCUAUGAGCCUGACAUGGUGCUGGGGCUUGACAUUUGUUCUUUUGAAUCAACUGUGUAGUCAUCAGAAUACCCAUUCCACAGAUGAGAAAACAAAAGCCUCUGUCCCUGCCUCACUCUUGGAAUUUCUGCAGAGUCUCACAGACAAACUCACUUCUCUCCAGCCACUAAGAUGCAAGAAACAGGUGAUUCCCAGUGGAGGACGGUGCUCCAGAGCCCGCACAGGGGGACAGCGCUCUGUUUCCCCCUGAAGCAGAUAAGGGGGAGAAGGAGCCCUCUGCCCACCCCGGGAGGGGGGUCUUCCCCUCUCAAGAGGCCCAGGGGGUCUCUGCAGGCAGAGGUGGGCCGGCUCAGCCAGGCCUCGGGGCCUGGACUCCCUCUUCUUUCCUCUUCAGGGCCUGCGGGAGGUGGGGGCGUCCGGGGGCCCCUUGGUUGGCAUGUGAGGGAGUGAGGCUGGAGAUAUGCCCCCUUCACUCUCUGAGCCCUGCCUCCUGCACCCCAAGGUGUGACCGCUGAGACAGCAAUCAUGGUUUCACACAGUAAAGCCUCCCCUGACGAUCAGCACAGCAUGCUGCUCCCAGCCCUCCGUGUUUCUGCUCCUCACCUGCCCGUCGGCAUCAGGGUGCGUCCUACCUGGGAGGGACCUGGCGUCUCUUUGGGCCAGGAGGUUUCCUAGGAAUAAAACAGGGGUGGAAAUGACCGCUGGGAAGUUGAAGAGCACUCUGGAUGCAGAGGCAUCUGUCUUUUCAACACAUCAUCUCUCCCUCUGGAGGGGCCUGGACUGAAAGAUGGCUAGUUUCAGCCCCAGGGGGCUUUGUGAAGGCAGCGAGCUUGAUAUCAGCUCCUCCCCUCUCCUCGGCCUUGUGAACCCAGAACCUUAGCUGCCCUGAACACGCCAAUCACUCAUUCAUUCAGCAAACAUCCUGGAGCAGCCAGGCCUGGGAGGCGCGCACUGUGCGGGGAGCGAUAAGACCCCCCUGCGGAACACAGCCACCGGGGAGACGGCAUCGGAACACGAUUAUCCUAACAUGAGCCCAAGGACUGAAUCUCAGACAGUGACUUUAGAAGCACUGGUGAGUUCAAACAGGAGUUGAAGCCCAUCUUCCUCUCCAGAGGACCAGGGAGUCCCACGUGCCCGUCCUC